rnacentral:rRNA from 1 species
AGUGGCGAACGGGGUAGUAAGGCGUAGGUGACGUGCCUCAAGGUCAAGGAUAGCCUAGGGAAACUUAGGGUAAUACUUGAUAAUCCCUGGAGUUUGAAGACUCCGUGGGCAAAGGUGUAAUUCCAUCUUGAGAGCGGCUUGCGUGGUAUUAGCUAGUUGGUGAGGUAACGGCUCACCAAGGCAACGAUGCCUAGGGGAUGUUAGCGCAUGAUCCCCACCACUGGGACUGAGAUACUGCCCAGACACCUACGGGUGGCUGCAGUCGAGAAUCUUCGGCAAUGGGGGAAACCCUGACCGAGCGACGCCGCGUGUGGGAUGAAGGCCCUUGGGUUGUAAACCACUGUCAGAGGGGAUGAAACGUAUGGGGGCAAACCCCUGUAUUUGACAUAGCCUCAGAGGAAGCACGGGCUAAGUUCGUGCCAGCAGCCGCGGUAAGACGAACUGUGCAAACGUUAUUCGGAAUCACUGGGCUUAAAGGGUGUGUAGGCGGUUCAUUAAGUAGGGUGUGAAAGCCCCCGGCUCAACCGGGGAAUUGCGCCCUAAACUAGUGGACUAGAGUGAGGCAGGGGUGUGUGGAACUUCCAGUGGAGCGGUGAAAUGUGUUGAUAUUGGAAGGAACGCCGGUGGCGAAAGCGACACACUGGGCCUUGUCUGACGCUGAGACACGAAAGCCAGGGGAGCAAACGGGAUUAGAUACCCCGGUAGUCCUGGCCGUAAACGCUGAGUACUAGU